AGUGAACGCUGGCGGUAGGCCUAACACAUGCAAGUCGAACGGCAGCACAGGAGAGCUUGCUCUCUGGGUGGCGAGUGGCGGACGGGUGAGGAAUACAUCGGAAUCUACUCUGUCGUGGGGGAUAACGUGGGGAAACUUACGCUAAUACCGCAUACGACCUACGGGUGAAAGCAGGGGACCUUCGGGCCUUGCGCGAUUGAAUGAGCCGAUGUCGGAUUAGCUAGUUGGCGGGGUAAAGGCCCACCAAGGCGACGAUCCGUAGCUGGUCUGAGGGGAUGAUCAGCCACACUGGAACUGAGACACGGUCCAGACUCCUACGGGAGGCAGCAGUGGGGAAUAUUGGACAAUGGGCGCAAGCCUGAUCCAGCCAUACCGCGUGGGUGAAGAAGGCCUUCGGGUUGUAAAGCCCUUUUGUUGGGAAAGAAAUCCAGCUGGCUAAUACCCGGUUGGGAUGACGGUACCCAAAGAAUAAGCACCGGCUAACUUCGUGCCAGCAGCCGCCGUAA
rnacentral:rRNA from 1 species